rnacentral:misc_RNA from 1 species
GAAAUGCGAUAAGUAAUGUGAAUUGCAGAAUUCAGUGAAUCAUCGAAUCUUUGAACGCACCUUGCGCUCCUUGGUAUUCCUUGGAGCAUGCCUGUUUGAGUAUCAUGAAAUCUUCAAAGUAAAUCUUUUGUUAACUCAAUUGGUAUCUACUUUGGUAUUGGAGGUCUUUGCAGCUUCACACCUGCUCCUCUUUGUUCAUUAGCUGGAUCUCAGUGUUAUGCUUGGUUCCACUCGGCGUGAUAAGUUAUCUAUCGCUGAGGACACUGUAAAAGGUGGCCAAGGUAAAUGCAGAUGAACCGCUUCUAAUAGUCCAUUGACUUGGACAAUACUUUUAUGAUCUGAUCUCAAAUCAGGUAGGACUACCCGCUGAACUUAAGC